AAUCAACGCUGGCGGCGUGCCUAACACAUGCAAGUCGAACGCGAAAGCCCCGCAAGGGGUAAGUAGAGUGGGCAAACGGGUGAGUAACACGUGGGUGACCUGCCUUCGAGUGGGGGGAUAACGUCCCGAAAGGGACGCUAAUACCGCAUAACAUCCUGCCUUUGAAGAGGUGGAGAUCAAAGCUGGGGACCGCAAGGCCUGGCGUUUGAAGGA
rnacentral:rRNA from 1 species